UCGGGAAUUUUGGGCAAUGGGGGAAACCCUGACCCAGCAACGCCGCGUGAAGGAUGAAGUAUUUCGGUAUGUAAACUUCGAAAGAAUAGGAAGAAUAAAUGACGGUACUAUUUAUAAGGUCCGGCUAACUACGUGCCAGCAGCCGCGGUAAUACGUAGGUGGCAAGCGUUGUCCGGAUUUAUUGGGUUUAAAGGGUGCGUAGGUGGCCCUGUAAGUCAGUGGUGAAAUAUCUCAGCUUAACUGAGAGGGUGCCAUUGAUACUGCAGGGCUUGAGUACAGAUGAGGUAGGCGGAAUUGACGGUGUAGCGGUGAAAUGCAUAGAUAUCGUCAAGAACACCGAUAGCGAAGGCAGCUUACCAAGCUGUAACUGACACUGAGGCACGAAAGUGUGGGGAGCAAACAGGAUUAGAUACCCUUGUAGUCCCUGAGCGGGCUGGCAAGGCGCAU
rnacentral:rRNA from 1 species